GACGAACGCUGGCGGCGUGCUUAACACAUGCAAGUCGAGCGGUAAGGCCCUUUCGGGGGUACACGAGCGGCGAACGGGUGAGUAACACGUGGGUGACCUGCCUUUAGCUCUGGGAUAAGCCUGGGAAACUGGGUCUAAUACCGGAUAUGACCCUAUGGCGCAUGUUGUGGGGUGGAAAGCCUUGUGCGGCUAGGGAUGGGCCCGCGGCCUAUCAGCUUGUUGGUGGGGUGAUGGCCUACCAAGGCGACGACGGGUAGCCGGCCUGAGAGGGCGACCGGCCACACUGGGACUGAGACACGGCCCAGACUCCUACGGGAGGCAGCAGUGGGGAAUCUUGCGCAAUGGGCGAAAGCCUGACGCAGCGACGCCGCGUGAGGGAUGACGGCCUUCGGU
rnacentral:rRNA from 1 species